UACGUAGGGGGCAAGCGUUGUCCGGAAUUAUUGGGCGUAAAGAGCGUGUAGGCGGUCCGGUAAGUCGGCUGUGAAAGUCCAGGGCUCAACCCUGGGAUGCCGGUCGAUACUGCCGGACUAGAGUUCGGAAGAGGCGAGUGGAAUUCCCGGUGUAGCGGUGAAAUGCGCCAGAUAUCGGGAGGAACACCUAUGGCGAAGGCAGCUCGCUGGCCCGAUACUGACGC
rnacentral:rRNA from 1 species